rnacentral:rRNA from 1 species
UUCCGGUUGAUCCUGCCGGAAGUCACUGCUAUUGGGGUCCGACUAAGCCAUGCGAGUCAAUAGUUCUUCGUGAACUAGGCGGACGGCUCAGUAACACGUGGGUAAUCUACCCUCAGGACAGGGAUAACCCCGGGAAACUGGGGAUAAUACCUGAUAGGUGGAGAGGUCUGGAAUGAUCCUCCGCCCAAAGCUCCGGCGCCUGAGGAUGAGCCUGCGGCCGAUUAGGUUGUUGGCGGUGUAACGGACCACCAAGCCUGAGAUCGGUACGGGCACUGAGAGGUGGAGCCCGGAGAUGGGGGCUGAGAAACGGCCCCAGGCCCUACGGGGCGCAGCAGGCGCGAAAACUCCGCAAUACGCGAAAGCGUGACGGGGGGACCCCAAGUGUCAUGCCUUCGGGUAUGACUUUUGCAGAGUGUAAACAGCUCUGCGAAUAAGAGCUGGGUAAGACCGGUGCCAGCCACCGCGGUAACACCGGCAGCUCAAGUGGUGGCCACUAUUAUUGGGCCUAAAGCGUCCGUAGCCUGCUCGGUAAGUCCUUGGGAAAAUCCGCUCGUUCCACGAACGGGACCCUGAGGAUACUGCCGAACUUGGGAACGAGAGAAGUCGGAAGUACUCCUGGGGUAGCGGUGAAAUGCUGUAAUCCUGGGGGGACUACCAGUGGCGAAGGCGUCGACUAGAGCGGGUUCCGACGGUGAGGGACGAAAGCCAGGGGAGCGAACGGGAUUAGAUACCCCGGUAGUCCUGGCCGUAAACGCUGUGGGCUAGGUUGUUUGCACGCUCUAGGGGGGCGUGCAGUGCCGAA